AUUGAACGCUGGCGGCAUGCUUUACACAUGCAAGUCGAACGGCAGCACGGGCUUCGCCUGGUGGCGAGUGGCGAACGGGUGAGUAAUAUAUCGGAACGUACCCAGAAGUGGGGGAUAACGUAGCGAAAGUUACGCUAAUACCGCAUACGAUCUAUGGAUGAAAGCAGGGGACCGCAAGGCCUUGUGCUCCUGGAGCGGCCGAUAUCUGAUUAGCUAGUUGGUGAGGUAAAGGCUCACCAAGGCGACGAUCAGUAGCUGGUCUGAGAGGACGACCAGCCACACUGGAACUGAGACACGGUCCAGACUCCUACGGGAGGCAGCAGUGGGGAAUUUUGGACAAUGGGCGCAAGCCUGAUCCAGCAAUGCCGCGUGAGUGAAGAAGGCCUUCGGGUUGUAAAGCUCUUUUGUCAGGGAAGAAACGGUAGAGGCUAAUAUCCUUUGCUAAUGACGGUACCUGAAGAAUAAGCACCGGCUAACUACGUG
rnacentral:rRNA from 1 species